rnacentral:rRNA from 1 species
GAUGAACGCUGGCGGCGUGCUUAACACAUGCAAGUCGAACGGAAAGGCCACAGCUUGCUGUGGUACUCGAGUGGCGAACGGGUGAGUAACACGUGGGUGAUCUGCCCUGUACUUCGGGAUAAGCUUGGGAAACUGGGUCUAAUACCGGAUAGGAAUCACAUGUGGGUGUGUGGUUGGAAAGCUUUUGCGGUAUGGGAUGAGCUCGCGGCCUAUCAGCUUGUUGGUGGGGUAAUGGCCUACCAAGGCGUCGACGGGUAGCCGGCCUGAGAGGGUGUACGGCCACAUUGGGACUGAGAUACGGCCCAGACUCCUACGGGAGGCAGCAGUGGGGAAUAUUGCACAAUGGGCGCAAGCCUGAUGCAGCGACGCCGCGUGGGGGAUGACGGCCUUCGGGUUGUAAACUCCUUUCGUCAGGGACGAAGCGAAAGUGACGGUACCUGGAUAAGAAGCACCGGCUAACUACGUGCCAGCAGCCGCGGUAAUACGUAGGGUGCGAGCGUUGUCCGGAAUUACUGGGCGUAAAGAGCUCGUAGGUGGUUUGUCGCGUCGUUUGUGUAAGUCCACGGCUUAACUGUGGGAUGGCAGGCGAUACGGGCAUAACUUGAGUGCUGUAGGGGAGACUGGAAUUCCUGGUGUAGCGGUGAAAUGCGCAG